AAAAGGUCCAUACAAGAGAAAAAUCCAGAACCUUUAUCACCUGCACCUUGCCCAAUCAGAUUACUCCUUGGCUCUCGUCCCAAACAAACAACAUUUAUUUCCUCUUACUAACGGUUCCAAUUCACAGAGAGUAGCAUCCAGUAAUGUUAGUUCACCUGCAGUGCUGACCACUCUCCCUUUUUUCCACUAUCACACUGAAACGCCUAAGUCCGGUUCCCGCUCCCACUCCGCUUGCAUCACUCGCUUCGUGUACACAGGGACUCCCCCCACCAUUAUUUUUGUCUAUCCAGAUGGCCCAAAGCGCAAAACAGAACAGAUGCCUCUGAUGGAUUGAGUAUUCCCCAAAAAACUCAGGUGCAAAUUAAGGGGCUGGUGGAUUCCUUUUGUCGCGAUGGUCAUGUGGAAUUGGGGUUGCUUAAGAGAGGUUCUAGAGUGCUCGGGAGUGAUUACGCGUCGAAAUUGAACCAGGUUGCUCGGGUCGCCCGAGAUGACUGUGAGCCUACUAUGGUGUCGGUAAUCUCAAGUCAUGACCAAUCGGUGCAACAGAGGACUUGGCAAUGGCCACACGAAUCUAAACUUUUUUUUCAACUAUGGGUAUUUAAUUUUUAAUUAUAUUCUGGAGUAAUUUUUUAUGUAAAUUGUGGACUUUAUGGGACUUUUAUUUAAUUUGGGUUAUUAUUUAUUUUUAUGGUUUAUAA